GACGUCAUGGGUCCGGACUCGCGUGAGUGCGCGUGCGUUGGAGCCUCAUCCUUUAUCUCCACUCUGCGGAGAUUCACGCCUGGGAAACGCUCUUCUGAGAGGACCCAUGGAGGUCAACCCGGGAGAGAGACGAGAGGACUGAAGCACCUAAAGUGUCCUGCCUUAAGGGAGCAGGAUUGUGUAGAAUAUAUAAUAGCAGUAGCAGCUCUGUUUACGGAGCAUUAACCUUACGUGGAGUUCUUUCCUACGUUACCUCCUUUCAUCUUUACAAAGGAGCCAUUUGGUGUUGUGAGGUAUGGAUGUUCCCAUCCCUAAUUUGCAGAAUAGGUAACUGAAGCUCAAGAGAGCUAGUUUGCGCACAGCCGAGAAGUGGUCAAGUUAGAAUGGGACCCCAGGUUUGUGCUCCCUACUCUCCACCGAUAACCUAUCAAAGGGCUUUGAAAGAGCUUUUGACUAAUCGCCUCUCAGUGGUUCUUCAUUCACUUAUUAAUUGCACAUCAGUAUGUGCCAAAUCUACUAGACAUUGGAGAAACAGUAGGAACAAGACACGGUACCGGCACAUGGAUCUUUCAGGAAAAGGAAGUAGGUAAUAAACAGGAAAAAGCCCGAGUCUGAUGCUAAGAAGAACAUAAACAGGAUGCUGAGAGAUGGAGUCUCUCCACAUUGUCCAGGCUGCUCUCCAACUCCUGAGUUAAAGUGAUCCCCUUCCCUUGGCCUCCCAAAGUACUGGGAUUACAGGCGUGAGCCACUGGGCCUGGCUGAGAAGAUGGAUUUAAGACAUGUUUCGGAGUCCACCAAGGUCCAUUCACGCAUCAAAGUGGCACCCCAGAACAGGAACUCCGAGGACAUGAACGAAGAAGGUCUGCUGGAGCAGAGAAGCUGAAGUUGACAAGACGAAUGGGGACCCUGGAAUGAGUCUGCUGGCAGCUGAUAUAAGGAGAUGGACAAGCCGUGUGUGUGGGUGCCCUCAAGGUGCAUGCAACCAUGGAACAGGAGACUAGAGGAACCCAGGGUGGCCAACUAUGGGCCCAGUCCCUCUGGUACAAGCCAUAAGCCAGCUGAGCCUGAGUGCAAAGAUGGAGAGAAGGCCGACCGGAGUCAUGAGGACCUCAACCCCCAUAACCUGGGGGCAACUCAAGAAUACCCCGCAGGAAGCUGAGAAACUACUGGAGCAUCAAGGCCAGGCAAAAACCCCUGAUUCCAUGUUCUUGGCCAUAUUAGCCAUAAUGUCCUGUGCUGUGUUUACCCUGUGCAGAGGCAAAAACAUAUGGGGCAUAUGUUCUCAAUCUCCCAGUAGUGCAACCUAUAUUUUGGAGUGACACUCCUCCUGAGAUUUAUUAUGAUCAGGGAGUGUGGGCUCCAGGACCCCUGACUCCCCCGACAUAGAACAGUUGGGCUCUCAGAACGUCAUUAAUUAUAGCGCCCCACUAGAAGGACUCCCUUUAUCACUACAAAGACGUCACUCAACCAUAGCUGUCUUAUAAUUCAAGCUCAAGAAAGGUUGAGUCAUUAUGGUAAAGUCAUGUACCUAUUAAGUCUUGGUUCUAUUAAUGUAACUGGUGUGCUAACCAACCAUUCCUGGCCCAGUCGCCCUAAUUGUGCUGACUGUAUGGAAUGGAUUCCCUUUGAUAGUUCCUACCCACCUCCAUGGACCCAGUAUCUUGGCCCACUGGCUAGAAAACAAUUUAUGGUAAGUUGGAGACAUUGUGGAUUGGGGACCUAAAGGUCAACUAUAUGGAAAACAUGAAAAUCAGAAAUCACGGCACAAACUUCGCUGGCAUGGGGUGGCAAGCUUUUAAUGCUGCUUCUUUAUACCGUACCGGGAUCCAAUCCCAGUCUGCCACCCGGAUUGCUUGGCAUGGAGCAGGUUUUAGCCCGCCUCUUCCUCAGUGGCAUUAUCUAGGGAGGAAAGGACCAAUCCAAGAGACAUUAGGGAAGGCAGCACUCCCAUUUAUGAAUGGCAGCAUCUGGGAUGGGAUACUAUCCAAUAAUAGCAACAGUAAGCAACACAGUCUUAAUGUUACGUUUGUAAAGAAUAUCACCACUCGAUUUAUAGUUUGUGUUUUUAAUCCUUAUGUCUUUUUGGCAGCUAAGAAGGACCAGCUCCAGGUAAACAAUACCCAGUUGACCUGUAAAUCUUGCCAGUUAUAUCACUGCAUUAAUCAUAGCACAUUGCACACACAUAAUAUCUCUACUUUGAUUAUUUUGGGUUGCAUCCCUGGGCUAUGGAUUCCUGUUAAUCUCUCUGAGCCUUGGGCUACCACCCCUGCUUUGCACUUCAUGAAACAACUUUUAACUCAUCUUACUCAUUGUGUCCAUAAAGCCUUAGGCAUCAUAAUUUUUGCUAUUGUUUCCUUGGUCACAUUAAUAACUUCUGUUGUGAUGUCCUCUGUAACUUUGCAUAGUUCUAUUCAAACAACUCAGUAUGUGGAAAACUGGAUGCGUAUAGCCAACCAAGUGUGGCUACUUCACAAUAAAAUUAACACUGAGUUACAAACUGAAGUGGCAAUGUUGAAAUCCAUGGUUCUAUGGUUAGAAUAACAAGUACAAAACUUGCAAUUGCAACAGCAAUUGCACCAUCAUUUUAAUCACACUCAUAUUUGUGUAACCAACUUAGAAUAUAACCAAAGUGAGUAUCCGUGGAACCUCGUGAAAGCCCGUUUGCAGAGAGCUUGCACAUCCAACAUCACCUUUGAUAUUGGUCAAUUACAAAACAAAAUUCUUGAUUUAAAUAAACAAACUCAAGAGUUUCAGCCUUCUUUAGAAGACUGGACCGAAUUCCAGCAAGGCCUGGAGCGCCUCAACCCUUGGACCUAUCUAAAGCACCUCAUUAACAUCUUAUAUGUAGUCCUUGCAAUAAUGUUGUUUUUUUCUCUGUCUCCUGUUCAUAGUCUGUAAAAUUGGAUGGACCGCCAAUCAGAAAAUGAGAGCUGCCCAGCCUGGCCUUACAUUCUUUCAAUUAAUUCAUAAACAGAAAGGGGGAAAUGUAGAGAGCCGAAUGCCCAUGGGUCAUCACCAACUCAGCAUUCCACUGAGGCUAUAUGAUCAAAGAGCAAACUGUUUAUCAUGAAUGCAGAAUGUGGGCAAACUCACUUCUGCUUUAGCCGCCAGAAGGUUUGCUGAGGGCAAUCACUCCCUGGCGCUGUGCACCUUGAGGUUAUCUACUGGGACAUCUAGAGCCUACUGUUCAAAGAAUGCAGUCUUGCGAGCCUGCUAUGACUCAGGCUGCUGACCAACAACCACCCUCUCUUCUCCCUAUCUCCUUUACCCAAUAAAUACAAAGGGCUCUAAAGCUCAGGGCCCUUGGUCACUAGAAGCAAGGAGCCCCCUGGCCCCUUCUUCCAAAUAUACUCUUUGGUCUUUAUCUUUAUUCCUGCGUUCGUCCCCCUUUGUUCAGUCCAACAGAGAUUAGGUCCACCUCACCUUUUAAACAACCAGCUCUUGCAUGAACUCAUUACCAUGGGGGAGGACACCAAGCCAUUCAUGAGGGAUCCACCCCCAUGAUCCUAACACCUCACAUCUUGCCCCACCUCCAACACUGAAUAUUACAUUUUAACAUGAGAUUUUGAGGGGAUAUAUAUCCAAACUGUAUCAGAGAGGUUACUUCAAAUGUUCAGGUGCAUGACAUUUUGA